GCGAAAAUAACUUAAUAGGUAAAGUAUAAUCUUGCCAAGAUUAUGGAUAAGGGUUCAAGUCCCUUUUUUCGCU
rnacentral:tRNA from 1 species